UGAUACCUACGGGGGGCAGCAGUCGGGAAUAUUGCGCAAUGGAGGAAACUCUGACGCAGUGACGCCGCGUAUAGGAAGAAGGUUUUCGGAUUGUAAACUAUUGUCGUGAGGGAAGAAAUUGACAGUACCUCAGGAGGAAGCUCCGGCUAACUAUGUGCCAGCAGCCGCGGUAAUACAUAGGGAGCAAGCGUUAUCCGGAUUUAUUGGGUGUAAAGGGUGCGUAGACGGGAAAUUAAGUUAGUUGUGAAAUCCUCGGCCUUAACUGAGGACAUG
rnacentral:rRNA from 1 species